UUUUAAUUAAGUUAAAAAAACUUAUUUUUUGUCAAAAAAUCAAUCUUUCUUUUUAAAAAAGAUUAAAAU
rnacentral:tRNA from 1 species